rnacentral:misc_RNA from 1 species
GAUGAAGAACGUAGCGAAAUGCGAAAAGUAGUGUGAAUUGCAGAAUUCAGUGAAUCAUCGAAUCUUUGAACGCACAUUGCGCCCGCCAGUAUUCUGGCGGGCAUGCCUGUUCGAGCGUCAUUUCAACCAUCAAGCCCUGCUUGCGUUGGGGUCCUGCGGCUGCCCGCAGGCCCUGAAAACCAGUGGCGGGCUCGCUAGUCACACCGAGCGCAGUAAUACAUCUCGCUUUGGGCGUGCGGCGGGUUCUUGCCGUUAAACACCCCCUUUUUACCAAGGUUGACCUCGGAUCAGGUAGGAAUACCCGCUGAACUUAAGCAUAUCAAUAAGCGGAGGA